rnacentral:miRNA from 14 species
UGUGUUUACAUGUACAUGUGCAUGUACAUGUAUGUGUACAUUACAUAUACACAUAUACAUUAUAUACAUAUAUACACAUAUACAUAUGCAACAGAAA